rnacentral:rRNA from 1 species
GUAUCAGUAAGCGGAGGAAAAGAAACUAACAAGGAUUGCCCCAGUAGCGGCGAGUGAACAGGCAAAAGCUCAAAGUGGAAAUCCGGCGGCACCAGGCUGACGGAAUUGUAAUCUAGAGAGUCGACGCGAAGGCACGGCACACCGCGUGAGUUCCUUGGAACAGGACGCCACAGAGGGUGAAAGCCCCAUCUGCAGCGGUGGCUGGCUGUAGCGCAAGGCCUCCAAGAGUCGGGUUGUUUGGGACUGCAGCCCUAAAUGGGAGAUAAACUUCUUCUAAAGCUAAAUAUUUAUGGGAGACCGAUAGCGCACAAGUA